GGCCUCCUGGUGCUCACCACAGGCUGUGUCCUCACACGGUGUAUAAAGAGGAGGCAGAAUGAACCCAGCCCAUGCACACCCCAGCCCUGGCCCCAGGCCUGGUCUGUACUGUGAACAGGGGAACAUGG
ensembl:snoRNA